rnacentral:rRNA from 1 species
GAUGAACGCUGGCGGCGUGCUUAACACAUGCAAGUCGAACGGAAAGGCUCCUGCUUGCAGGGGUACUCGAGUGGCGAACGGGUGAGUAACACGUGGGUGAUCUGCCAUGCACUUCGGGAUAAGCCUGGGAAACUGGGUCUAAUACCGGAUAGGACGAUGGUUUGGAUGCCAUUGUGGAAAGUUUUUCGGUGUGGGAUGAGCUCGCGGCCUAUCAGCUUGUUGGUGGGGUAAUGGCCUACCAAGGCGUCGACGGGUAGCCGGCCUGAGAGGGUGUACGGCCACAUUGGGACUGAGAUACGGCCCAGACUCCUUCGGGAGGCAGCAGUGGGGAAUAUUGCACAAUGGGCGCAAGCCUGAUGCAGCGACGCCGCGUGGGGGAUGACGGCCUUCGGGUUGUAAUCUCCUUUCGCUAGGGACGAAGCGCAAGUGACGGUACCUGGAGAAGAAGCACCGGCUAACUACGUG